CCUACGGGAGGCAGCAGUCGAGAAUCAUUCACAAUGGGGGAAACCCUGAUGGUGCGACGCCGCGUGGGGGAAUGAAGGUCUUCGGAUUGUAAACCCCUGUCAUGUGGGAGCAAAUUAAAAAGAUAGUACCACAAGAGGAAGAGACGGCUAACUCUGUGCCAGCCGCCGCGGUAAUACAGAGGUCUCAAGCGUUGUUCGGAAUCACUGGGGGUAAAGCGUGCGUAGGCUGUUUCGUAAGUCGUGUGUGAAAGGCGCGGGCUCAACCCGCGGACGGCACAUGAUACUGCGAGACUAGAGUGAUGGAGGGGGAACCGGAAUUCUCGGUGUAGCAGUGAAAUGCGUAGAUAUCGAGAGGAACACUCGUGGCGAAGGCGGGUUCCUGGACAUUAACUGACGCUGAGGCACGAAGGCCAGGGGAGCGAAAGGGAUUAGAUACCCGAGUAGUC
rnacentral:rRNA from 1 species